rnacentral:rRNA from 1 species
CUACGGGUUGCUGCAGUGGGGAAUAUUGCACAAUGGGCGCAAGCCUGAUGCAGCAACGCCGCGUGAGGGACGACGGCCUUCGGGUUGUAAACCUCUUUUAGCAGGGAAGAAGCGAAAGUGACGGUACCUGCAGAAAAAGCACCGGCUAACUACGUGCCAGCAGCCGCGGUAAUACGUAGGGUGCAAGCGUUGUCCGGAAGUAUUGGGCGUAAAGAGCUCGUAGGCGGUUUGUCGCGUCUGCUGUGAAAAUCCGAGGCUCAACCUCGGACCUGCAGUGGGUACGGACAAACUAGAGUGCGGUAGGGGAGAUUGGAAUUCCUGGUGUAGCGGUGGAAUGCGCAGAUAUCAGGAGGAACACCAAUGGCGAAGGCAGAUCUCUGGGCCGUAACUGACGCUGAGGAGCGAAAGCGUGGGGAGCGAACAGGAUUAGAUACCCGCGUAGUC